AUACUUAGUACGGCGAGUGAAGCGGUAAAAGCUCAAAUUUGAAAUCUGGUACUUUCAGUGCCCGAGUUGUAAUUUGUAGAAUUUGUCUUUGAUUAGGUCCUUGUCUAUGUUCCUUGGAACAGGACGUCAUAGAGGGUGAGAAUCCCGUUUGGCGAGGAUACCUUUUCUCUGUAAGACUUUUUCGAAGAGUCGAGUUGUUUGGGAAUGCAGCUCAAAGUGGGUGGUAAAUUCCAUCUAAAGCUAAAUAUUGGCGAGAGACCGAUAGCGAACAAGUACAGUGAUGGAAAGAUGAAAAGAACUUUGAAAAGAGAGUGAAAAAGUACGUGAAAUUGUUGAAAGGGAAGGGCAUUUGAUCAGACAUGGUGUUUUUUGCAUGCACUCGCCUCUCGUGGGCUUGGGCCUCUCAAAAAUUUCACUGGGCCAACAUCAAUUCUGGCAGUAGGAUAAAUCAUUAAGAAUGUAGCUACCUCGGUAGUGUUAUAGCUUAUUGGAAUACUGCUAGCUGGGAUUGAGGACUGCGCUUCGGCAAGGAUGUUGGCAUAAUGGUUAAAUGCCGCCCGUCU
rnacentral:rRNA from 1 species